rnacentral:rRNA from 1 species
GAUCUUUAUUUUUGUUAUUUAUAAAUUAAAAAGAAUUUUAAAAUUUAUAAUUUAAUAAAAAAUUUUAUUGGGGUGAUAUUAAAAUUUAAAAAACUUUUAAGAUUUAUUAACAUUAAUAUAUGAAUAAAUGAUCCAGUUUUAUUGAUUAAAAAUUUAAGUUACCUUAGGGAUAACAGCGUAAUUUUUUUUUAGAGUUCAUAUCGACAAAAAAGAUUGC